rnacentral:rRNA from 1 species
AUUGAACGCUGGCGGCAUGCCUUACACAUGCAAGUCGAACGGUAACGGGUCCUUCGGGAUGCCGACGAGUGGCGAACGGGUGAGUAAUAUAUCGGAACGUGCCCAGUAGUGGGGGAUAACUGCUCGAAAGAGCAGCUAAUACCGCAUACGACCUGAGGGUGAAAGGGGGGGAUCGCAAGACCUCUCGCUAUUGGAGCGGCCGAUAUCAGAUUAGCUAGUUGGUGGGGUAAAGGCCUACCAAGGCAACGAUCUGUAGUUGGUCUGAGAGGACGACCAGCCACACUGGGACUGAGACACGGCCCAGACUCCUACGGGAGGCAGCAGUGGGGAAUUUUGGACAAUGGGCGCAAGCCUGAUCCAGCAAUGCCGCGUGCAGGAAGAAGGCCUUCGGGUUGUAAACUGCUUUUGUCAGGGAAGAAAUCUUCUGGGCUAAUACCCCGGGAGGAUGACGGUACCUGAAGAAUAAGCACCGGCUAACUACGUGCCAGCAGCCGCGGUAAUACGUAGGGUGCGAGCGUUAAUCGGAAUUACUGGGCGUAAAGCGUGCGCAGGCGGCUUUGCAAGACAGAUGUGAAAUCCCCGGGCUCAACCUGGGAGCUGCAUUUGUGACUGCAAGGCUAGAGUACGGCAGAGGGGGAUGGAAUUCCGCGUGUAGCAGUGAAAUGCGUAGAUAUGCGGAGGAACACCAAUGGCGAAGGCAAUCCCCUGGGCCUGUACUGACGCUCAUGCACGAAAGCGUGGGGAGCAAACAGGAUUAGAUACCCUGGUAGUCCACGCCCUAAACGAUGUCAACUGGUUGUUGGACGGCUUGCUGUUCAGUAACGAAGCUAACGCGUGAAGUUGACCGCCUGGGGAGUACGGCCGCAAGGUUGAAACUCAAAGGAGUUGACGGGGACCCGCACAAGCGGUGGAUGAUGUGGUUUAAUUCGAUGCAACGCGAAAAACCUUACCUACCCUUGACAUGUCAAGAAUUCUGCAGAGAUGUGGAAGUGCUCGAAAGAGAACUUGAACACAGGUGCUGCAUGGCCGUCGUCAGCCCGUGUCGUGAGAUGUUGGGUUAAGUCCCGCAACGAGCGCAACCCUUGUCAUUAGUUGCUACGCAAGAGCACUCUAAUGAGACUGCCGGUGACAAACCGGAGGAAGGUGGGGAUGACGUCAGGUCCUCAUGGCCCUUAUGGGUAGGGCUACACACGUCAUACAAUGGCCGGUACAGAGGGCUGCCAACCCGCGAGGGGGAGCCAAUCCCAGAAAACCGGUCGUAGUCCGGAUCGUAGUCUGCAACUCGACUGCGUGAAGUCGGAAUCGCUAGUAAUCGCGGAUCAGCUUGCCGCGGUGAAUACGUUCCCGGGUCU